rnacentral:rRNA from 1 species
UACGUAGGGCGCAAGCGUUAUCCGGAAUUAUUGGGCGUAAAGAGCUCGUAGGCGGUUUGUCGCGUCUGCCGUGAAAGUCCGGGGCUCAACUCCGGAUCUGCGGUGGGUACGGGCAGACUAGAGUGAUGUAGGGGAGACUGGAAUUCCGGGUGUAGCGGUGAAAUGCGUAGAUAUCCGGAGGAACACCGGUGGCGAAGGCGGCUCUCUGGUCCACAACUGACGCUGAGGUGCGAAAGCUAGGGGAGCAAACGGG